AGCUAACAUGCCCAGAAGCUAUGUGACCACAUGUCAUCCUGCAGGACUUCUCUCCAUCUUCCCUUUGAGGGACCCCUUCACAGAAAGACAACGCUCAACACUGCUCCAAGGCUGGAGGCAGCAAAUCGGACUUGCCCUGUAGAAACCUGCAAACCAGUAAAAACUUGGACCAUGGACCUCCCUGUAAUCCCACAUUAUGCCUGGCAGUCCCUGGAGGCGCCACAAAUCGGCUGCAGCAACCACAGCCAAGUGCAAGCCGUCAUCCCAGGAACCACCCGAGGCUGGUGCGGGUCCGGAAAGCCACGCAGGACACCCGGACUCACCAGCUGCAGAGCGCAGAGCGCAAGAAGCGUGCAGCGGCCGGAGCAAAAGCCCAUGGAUCUCUCACAUUGCUGAGUGGUGAACAACAUGCCUGGGCCUCCCUGGGUCCCAGGGCAGAGAGAGAAUUUCAAGUACAAGUAAUGAGACCACCACCAGUUCAGUGUAGAAUGGAGCCCAUACCAGCCAAUGAUGGUGAUUCCAUGAGUGAAUACGAACACUAGACCAGAGCAAGGUAAGCGAGGCCUUGUGGGUUCCUGGAUGUUCUUGCACUUAUAGGUCUAAACCUGUGAAAGAAACUCCAACAGUGGAUGGAGAAAGGGAUCCACUGUCCCUUGAGGUCCCAACUGUAUGGAUCUGAAUUUGAUAAAAUGCCUCACGGUAAGUUUCGAUGCAGGUACGUUUGAUUUGACCUCAAUAAAACAUUGACUUUUGGCCAAUUUGAAAGUCAAACGAGCCGGGCGGCGAUGGCUCACAUCUUUUGAUCCACUCGGGGGGGCAGAAGCAGGCGGAUCUUAGAGUUGGAAGCCAGCUAGCUCCAGGGCAGCCAGGGCUACACAGAGAAACCCAGUCUCUUAAAAAAUAAAUAAACAAACAAGUA
rnacentral:lncRNA from 1 species